GUGAGGAAUAUUGGUCAAUGGACGAGAGUCUGAACCAGCCAAGUCGCGUGAAGGAAGACGGUUCUAUGAAUUGUAAACUUCUUUUGUGCAGGAAUAAAGUGGGUUACGUGUAACCUUUUGUAUGUACUGUACGAAUAAGGAUCGGCUAACUCCGUGCCAGCAGCCGCGGUAAUACGGAGGAUCCGAGCGUUAUCCGGAUUUAUUGGGUUUAAAGGGUGCGUAGGUGGAUUGAUAAGUCAGCGGUGAAAGUUUGCAGCUUAACUGUAAAAUUGCCGUUGAAACUGUCGGUCUUGAGUGCAAAUGAGGUAGGCGGAAUGUGUUGUGUAGCGGUGAAAUGCUUAGAUAUAACACAGAACUCCGAUUGCGAAGGCAGCUUACUAGGAUGCAACUGACACUGAUGCACGAAAGCGUGGGUAUCAAACAGGAUUAGAAACCCGAGUAGUCC
rnacentral:rRNA from 1 species